UACGAAGGGGGCUAGCGUUGCUCGGAAUCACUGGGCGUAAAGGGUGCGUAGGCGGGGCUUUAAGUCAGGGGUGAAAUCCUGGAGCUCAACUCCAGAACUGCCUUUGAUACUGAGGAUCUUGAGUUCGGGAGAGGUGAGUGGAACUGCGAGUGUAGAGGUGAAAUUCGUAGAUAUUCGCAAGAACACCAGCGGCGAAGGCGGCGCUCUGGGCCGGAACUGACGCUGAGGAGCGAAAGCGUGGGUAGCAAACAGG
rnacentral:rRNA from 1 species